rnacentral:rRNA from 1 species
CCUACGGGUGGCAGCAGUGGGGAAUAUUGGGCAAUGGAGGCAACUCUGACCCAGCAACGCCGCGUGAAUGAUGAAGGUCUUCGGAUUGUAAAGUUCUUUUCUAAGGGAAGAAGAAAGUGACGGUACCUUAGGAAUAAGCCUCGGCUAACUACGUGCCAGCAGCCGCGGUAAUACGUAGGAGGCAAGCGUUAUCCGGAAUGACUGGGCGUAAAGGGUGCGUAGGUGGUUUGACAAGUUAGUAGCGCAACUCCGGAGCUCAACUUCGGAACUACUACUAAAACUGUUGGACUUGAGUGCAGGAGGGGCAAUCGGAAUUCCUAGUGUAGCGGUGGAAUGCGUAGAUAUUAGAAGGAACACCAGUAGCGUAGGCAGGUUGCUGGGACGGUUCUGACACUAAGGCACGAAAGCGUAGGGAGCAAACGGGAUUAGAUACCCUAGUAGUC